rnacentral:lncRNA from 1 species
GUCUGAUCUUAAAAUUUUAUUUAUUUAUUUAUUUAUUAAUUAUAUAUAAGUACACUGCAGCUGUCUUCAGACACACCGAAGAAGGCAUAAGAUCUCAUUACAGAUGGUUGUGAGCCAUGUGGCUGCUGGGAUUUGAACUCAGAUCUCUGGAAGAGCAGUCAGUGCUCGUAACUGCCGAGUUAUCUCUCCCAGCCCAUGUGGUCUGAUCUUAAGAGAGAGUCUCUUCUUCCUUCCUUCCUCCCUUCCUUCCUUUUUUUCAAGAUAGGGUUUCUCCAUGUAGCCCUUGCUGUCCUGGAACUCCCUCUGUAGAGCAGGCUAGCCUCAAACUCAAAGAGAUCCACCUGCCUCUGCCUCCCAAAUGCUUGGAUUAAAGGCAUAUGCUACCACCACCCAGCCACGAGCUUUUCUUCAUCUCUCUGGGACCUCCAUUUUCCUGUCUGUAGGGGAACGUUCCAGAUGCUCUGGGUGAGGAGCCUGGCUAGAGGCAUACGGUGGACAGCUGAGAAGGCCGCUUGUGCAGCAAUGGAGCUGCUGGCAUCCUAGGAAGCUCCAACCAGAGUGGCCUUCAGCCCCACCAAACACCAGGCCCCAGCCAGGUCUUCCAUCACAGAGGACAGAGUUAGGGAAAUUCCUGCCCUGGUGACUUUGGCUUUUGGAAAAGUUGGUAUCCUGGUGUCUGAAAGUAUAGCCAAGCCAGCCCCAGCCAGCACUGAAUUCACGGAGGUUCACGGUGUCACUCCAGCGGGGACUGUGUGUCAGAUAUGUCCAGACAGCUUAGGGAGUUUUGAAGACAGGUGCGAAUCUGCAGUGGUUCUGGAGACCACUGAGACGAGAAGCCUGGUCAGGGGAGGAUGGAAACUGGGGAACAGGUGCUUAUUUUGGGGUCCUAGGAAGAAGAAAGACCAAGUCCUACAUGGAGGAGCUUUCAAAAGCAGACUUCAGCCAGGGAGGCCCCAAGCCCAGGGGGCAUUCUUAGUCAGGUUUGUCUGACUGGGCGCUGGCUGCUGCAGGCCCUAACUCCAGCAGGACUGCAUCCUGUGACUCACAGGUCCAGGAAGCAUGUGUCUGGGCUG